rnacentral:rRNA from 1 species
UCCGUAGGUGAACCUGCGGAAGGAUCAUUCAUAAUAAGUGUUUUAUGGCACUUUUUAAAUCCAUAUCCACCUUGUGUGCAAUGUCGGCCGAUCUUUCUUUUUUGGAAGAUCAGCCAAACAUCAACUUAUUUUUUUAACUCUUUGUCUGAAAAAUAUUAUGAAUAAACAAUUCAAAAUACAACUUUCAACAACGGAUCUCUUGGCUCUCGCAUCGAUGAAGAACGCAGCGAAAUGCGAUACGUAAUGUGAAUUGCAGAAUUCAGUGAAUCAUCGAAUCUUUGAACGCAUAUUGCGCUCUUUGGUAUUCCGAAGAGCAUGCUUGUUUGAGUAUCAGUAAACACCUCAAAACUUUUGAUUUAUUUUGAAAGCUUUGGACUUGAGCGAUCCCAACACCAAUCUUUUAAGAUCGGCGGCGGAUUGCUUGAAAUGCAGGUGCAGCUGGACAUUCUCCUGAGCUAAAAGCAUAUUUAUUUAGUCCCGUCAAACGGAUUAUUACUUUUGCUGCAGCUAAUAUAAAGGGAGUUUGACCGUUUUGGCUGACUGAUGCAGGAUUUCACAAGGGUCGGCAACGAUUCUUGUUAAACUCGAUCUCAAAUCAAGUAAGACUACCCGCUGAACUUAAGCAUAUCAAUAAGCGGAGGA